rnacentral:rRNA from 1 species
UACGAAGGCCCCGAGCGUUAUCCGGAUUUAUUGGGCGUAAAGCGUUCAACGGCGGUUUUGAAAGUUUUGGGUGAAAUCUCUGCGCUCAACGCAGAUCCCGCCCGCAAUACUUCAAGACUUGAGGGUGGAAGAGGCAAGCGGAACUACAGGUGUAGUAGUGAAAUGCGUUCAUAUCUGUAGGAACACCAAUAGCGAAAGCAGCUUGCUGGUACACACCUGACGCUCAAGAACGAAAGCGUGGGGAGCGAAUGGG